UACGUAGGGCGCAAGCGUUGUCCGGAAUUAUUGGGCGUAAAGAGCUCGUAGGCGGCUUGUCACGUCGGGUGUGAAAGCCCGGGGCUUAACCCCGGGUCUGCAUUCGAUACGGGCUAGCUAGAGUGUGGUAGGGGAGAUCGGAAUUCCUGGUGUAGCGGUGAAAUGCGCAGAUAUCAGGAGGAACACCGGUGGCGAAGGCGGAUCUCUGGGCCAUUACUGACGCUGAGGAGCGAAAGCGUGGGGAGCGAAC
rnacentral:rRNA from 1 species